AUCUACAGCCAUGCUACCCCGAACACGCUUGAUCCCAUCUGACCUCGGAAGCGAAGCAGGGUCGGGCCUGGUUAGGACUUGGAUGGGAGACCACCUAGGAAGACCAGUUGCUGUAGGCG
ensembl:rRNA 5S_rRNA 5S ribosomal RNA